GCAUAUCAAUAAGCGGAGGAAAAAGAAACCAACAGGGAUUGCCCCAGUAACGGCGAGUGAAGCGGCAACAGCUCAAAUUUGAAAUCUGGCCCCCCCGGGGCCCGAGUUGUAAUUUGCAGAGGAUGCUUUUGGCGAGGCGCCUUCCGAGUUCCCUGGAACGGGACGCCACAGAGGGUGAGAGCCCCGUCUGGUUGGAUGCCGAGCCUCUGUAAAGCUCCUUCGACGAGUCGAGUAGUUUGGGAAUGCUGCUCUAAAUGGGAGGUAUAUGUCUUCUAAAGCUAAAUAUUGGCCAGAGACCGAUAGCGCACAAGUAGAGUGAUCGAAAGAUGAAAAGCACUUUGAAAAGAGGGUUAAAUAGUACGUGAAAUUGUUGAAAGGGAAGCGCUCAUGACCAGACUUGGGCCCGGUGAAUCAUCCAGCGUUCUCGCUGGUGCACUUUGCCGGGCUCAGGCCAGCAUCAGUUCGCCCCGGGGGAGAAAGGCUCUGGGAAUGUGGCUCCUCCGGGAGUGUUAUAGCCCUCUGCGCAAUGCCCUGGGGCGGACUGAGGUCCGCGCAUCUGCAAGGAUGCUGGCGUAAUGGUCAUCAGCGACCCGUCUUGAAACACGGACCAAGGAGUCGUCCUCGUAUGCGAGUGUUCGGGUGUGAAACCCCUACGCGUAAUGAAAGUGAACGCAGGUGAGAGCUUCGGCGCAUCAUCGACCGAUCCUGAUGUUCUCGGAUGGAUUUGAGUAGGAGCAUACGGGGCCGGACCCGAAAGAAGGUGAACUAUGCCUGUAUAGGGUGAAGCCAGAGGAAACUCUGGUGGAGGCUCGCAGCGGUUCUGACGUGCAAAUCGAUCGUCAAAUAUGGGCAUGGGGGCGAAAGACUAAUCGGAACCUUCUAGUAGCUGGUUUCCGCCGAAAGA
rnacentral:rRNA from 1 species